UUGACUUCCCUUUCUUUCCUUUCAUUCCCUGGAGGAUUUGGUGUAUUGGGAUCAGGGUGAAUAUUAGAAAUUAUAUUACCAAUGAACUCCUUAUAUCUGAAUGAUUUGCCCUCACAUUUGAGGACUGGUGAUUUUGUCCAAUCUCUUCUUUUAACAGAUAAAACAAACAAAACAAAACAAAAAAAUCCCUAAUGUCUAAAGAGAUAAAAUACAAAGAAUGGAGAAGGUUGAUGGUAGAUCAUUGUGAAAACCCCUAACAGUGGAGUAGGUUGUCUCAGAAGACUUCAUGGAAAAGGAAACAAGUUGGACCUUUAAAGUGGAACAGAGUAUUUUGAAGUACCUGCUACUUAAGGAAGAUUUUUGGUGAAGGAUGAAUACUAAAAACUGAAGGAGAGUAUAAAAGGGCUUAUUAUAGCCCAUGAAAAAAGAUUUUGGAGACCAGAUAAAGAUGGUAGUUUUGGAUCAAGAUGUUCUAACAAUAUCGUGAUGGGCGUCAACACCUGGAUUAAUGAUCACAAGGGAAAGAUUCCCCUGUGGCUACACGGAUUCAAAUUGUGAUGUUUUGUGAGUGGAUUGCGUGAAAUUAUGUGAAGUGAGUUUUUACCCACCCUUAAUCUGCCAACAUUAGGACCAGACUAGAGGUUCAGGACUAGACAUGAGGAAAUACAGUGAAUGAUCCAGAAUGUGGGAAUUUUGAACAUUGUGGGUAUACGUUGAACUGUCUUUCCACCACCUAAAGGAUUCAGCAGAGUACUGGUGUAAGAGUUGGAGUGUCUUGGUUCAAGUCCUUGUCCUGACGCUGAAGGCGUGACCGUGGGCUGUGCAGAGCAGAGAACAGACCAAGACCCCACUCCUACAGCAGGGAGGAAGGAGAGCAGCCGCCAGCCACUACCUGGAGCAGCACUGGGGGUGUUCUCUCUAAAAUUUACUCCCAACUAACUUAGCCCAGAUGGGAUCUUGGGAAAUUGAGAGGUAAUUGCCUUCAUAUUCAUCUUGAGUGCAUUUU
rnacentral:lncRNA from 10 species